rnacentral:rRNA from 1 species
AUUGAACGCUGGCGGCAGGCCUAACACAUGCAAGUCGAACGGUAACAGGAAGCAGCUUGCUGCUUUGCUGACGAGUGGCGGACGGGUGAGGAAUGCCUGGGCAACCGCUCGAUGGAGGGGGAGAACUACUGGAAACGGUAGCUAAUACAGCAUAACGUGGCAAGACAGAAGAGGGGGGCCUUACGGCCUCUGGCUGGCGGAUGUGCCCAGAUGGGAUUAGCUAGGUGGUGGGGUAACGGCGCACCUAGGCGACGAUCCGUAGCUGGUCUGAGCGGCUGACCAGCCACACUGGGACUUAGACACGGUCCAGACUCCUACGGGAGGCAGCAGUGGGGAAUAUUGCACAAUGGGCGCAAGCCUGAUGCAGCCAUGCCGCGUGUAUGACGAAGGCCUUCGGGUUGUAAAGUACUUUCAGCGGUGAGGAAGGGAGUUAAGUUAAUACCUUUGCUCAUUGACGUUACCCGCAGAAGAAGCACCGGCUAACUCCGUG